CUCCUGCUGCCUGCAAAUUACAACGUCGCUCUCAGCUCCUUCUCCAGCACCAUGUCUGUCUGGAUGCUACCAAGCUUCCCACCAUAAUGAAAAUGGACAAAACCUCUGAAACUAGCUGUUCCUGAUCUUCAUUUCCAGGGUGUCUUGGAGGUGCAUCUCACUACUGCAACUUGACCUGAUCCCAAGAGACAUCAGCAGAAGAAUGUAUGCAAGUUUGUCUUAGUCUAGUUGGCAUCACCAUGGCAGAACUCCUGAGAGUGAAUUUUCCUUAAAGAGGCCUUUCUCCCACAAGGAUACUCCAGAGCCUCCGGCUGCUAUUGUCCCUCUGCCUUCACACUGAUUGGAAGAUGGGAACGAUGAAGUAUGACCACCAUGGUCGGCUUGACCCGUACAGAAUUGAAGAACCUGAUGGUGGAGGUGGACGCUGCGUCCUUUCCAUGUUGUCUCUCACUAAUGAUUUCCCUCCUUGGAAGAUCUAUUUAUGGGGUGCCAAGCAGUAGAAAGUGACAC